CGGGUCUUACGCAACGUAACUUUGUGAACCUCGUCAGGUCCGGAAGGAAGCAGCGAUAAGCGAACCCUUGCGUGUGACGUAAGCAGCCCGGCU
rnacentral:SRP_RNA from 1 species